rnacentral:lncRNA from 1 species
UUUUCUUACAGAAGUCUGCUCACACACCAGUUGACCAGGGUCUUAAAAGAAUCCUUAUCUACUUCGACCAGAGAAAUUCCAACCCAAGGGAACUUGGAAUUUAUGGAUUUUGAAGGCAACAAGACCUAAGGUUGUCUGAAGUAUGACAAAUUGGAACUGUGCAUAUUUAAGACAUUUAAGGUGUACAUCCUGACGUUUGGGGUCUGGCUUAUCAACAUAAUGUGCCCAGCAUCACCCACAUGGAGGCUUUAGUUAUAAUCCUCGUGCACUGGUUUGGACCCUGGAAUUCGUUUGAAGAGAUGUAGAUCAUCAGCUGAGUGCCAUGUGCCAACCGUGAGACCCAGACUGAUGUUGGACAUGUUUGUAGUUUUGGGGAAGUUCAGGCCCUCACUACAUUUUUCUUCGUGCCAUCCUGAAACCAUCUGUCUGUUUUUCGUUUCAUGGCGUCUUCUACCUUCAGUGGCCAGCUCUUGCCAGGAAUGGAUUUUUCUGAAGUAUCAAGAGGUCACAAAUAACAAGGAAUAAACUAUGCCUCCGGGAAAGAUGUGCAUUGCACACAUCUGGAAAGGGCCAGAGAGAACACAUCAUGUCAUCCCUGUCAUCCUUGUCAAGGCUGUCUCUUGCGCGCGCCGGACUGGCCAGCAGUAACGACGCUGCAACAGGAUCCUUCUGCACACGU